GAUUGCUGUGACGUGGGUGGUUCGCCGCCUUCGACAUUGCAAGAAGUCCAUUGAACCUUAUCAUUUAGAGGAAGGAGAAGUCGUAACAAGGUUUCCGUAGGUGAACCUGCGGAAGGAUCAUUG
rnacentral:rRNA from 5 species